rnacentral:rRNA from 1 species
UCCCAGACUCCUACGGGAGGCAGCAGUGGGGAAUAUUGCACAAUGGGGGAAACCCUGAUGCAGCGACGCCGCGUGAGUGAAGAAGUAAUUCGUUAUGUAAAGCUCUAUCAGCAGGGAAGAAAAUGACGGUACCUGAGUAAGAAGCCCCGGCUAACUACGUGCCAGCAGCCGCGGUAAUACGUAGGGGGCGAGCGUUAUCCGGAUUCACUGGGUGUAAAGGGAGCGUAGACGGCCAAGCAAGCCAGGGGUGAAAGCCCGGGGCUCAACCCCGGGACUGCAUUGGGAACUGGCGUGCUGGAGUGCCGGAGGGGCAGGCGGAAUUCCUGGUGUAGCGGUGAAAUGCGUAGAUAUCAGGAGGAACACCGGUGGCGAAGGCGGCCUGCUGGACGGAUACUGACGCUGAGGCCCGAAAGCGUGGGGAGCGAACAGGAUUAGAUACCCGAGUA